rnacentral:rRNA from 1 species
UACGUAGGGUGCAAGCGUUGUCCGGAAUUAUUGGGCGUAAAGAGCUCGUAGGCGGUCUGUCGCGUCGGAUGUGAAAACCCAGGGCUCAACCCUGGGCCUGCAUUCGAUACGGGCAGACUAGAGUUCGGUAGGGGAGACUGGAAUUCCUGGUGUAGCGGUGAAAUGCGCAGAUAUCAGGAGGAACACCGAUGGCGAAGGCAGCUCGCUGGGACGGUACUGACGCUGAGGCGCGAAAGCGUGGGGGAGCAAACAGG